rnacentral:snRNA from 1 species
GUACUUGCUUCGGGAACACAUAUACUAAAAUUGGAACGAUACAGAGAAGAUUAGCAUGGCCCCUGUGCAAGGAUGACACACAAAUUCGUGAAGCGUUUCACAUUUUU